AUGACACUGUUGGGUCUUCUGUACCUGGUGACAUUCCUUCCUGGUAUCCUGUCCCAGGUACAGCUUCAGGAGUCAGGACCUGGCCUGGUGAAGCCCUCUCAAACACUGUCCCUCACCUGCUCUGUCACUGGUUACUCCAUCACCAGUGAUUAUACAUGGAACUGGAUCAGACAGUCCCCAUGGAAGAAGCUGGAGUGGAUGGGGUACAUAAAUAGUGCUGGUAGCACCUACUACAACCCAUCCUUCAAGAGCCGCAUCUCCAUCACCAGAGAAGCAUCCAAGAACCAGUUCUUCCUGCAGCUGAACUCUGUGACCACUGAGGACACAGCCACCUAUUACUGUGCAAGAGACACAGUGAGGAGACUUUAG